AAAAUAUUUAAUUUAUGUUUAGAAAUUUAUUUUAUAAUUAAAGUAUAAAUGAAUUUUUAUUGAAUUAAAAAAUUUAAAUAAUUUUUUAUUAAGAAUAAGUUAUAUUUAUAAUGAAUAAUUUUAAGAAAUUAGGAGUUAGUAAUUUAUAUUAUAAUAAUAAUAAAUUUUAGUGCCAGCAAUUGCGGUUAAACUAAGUGUUAUGAAUGAAUUAUAUUAAUUAUGGUUAAAGAAGGUAUUUUAGGUUAUAUUUUAAUAUAAGUGAUUUUUUAUAUGGUGAAAUAUGUAAGAAGUUUUUAAGUAUUAAAAAUUAAAUUUUUGAUAUUUUUUGAAAUUAGUAGAUUACAGUAGAAAUUAGGAUUAGAUACCCUAUUAUUGUAAAGUAAGAAUUAAAUAAUUGAAGAAUAAAUGUGAAUCAUUGAAAUUUAAAUAGUUUGGCGGUAUUUUAAAAAGUUAGAGGAAUUUGUUUUAUAAAUGAUAGUCCACGAUAGGAGAGUCUUAAUAUAAGUUUUAUAUAUUGUUGUUUAAAAAUUAUUUUACAAGAUUAUAAUUCAGAAAUUUGAAAAGAAAUUUGAAUUCAAAUCAAAAUGUAGAGUUAUUAAGUAAAAAUGAGUUACAUUUUAAUAAAUGAAAAAGUAUUUUAAAAGUUUUAAAUAUUUUAAAUACAUUGAAUUUAAUAGUAAGUUUAAUAAAUUUAUUAGGUUGAAAAUUAAAUAAAAUAUGUACAAUGCCCGUCAUUUCCAUAAAUAAAUAGUUGGAAGAAGUCGUAACAAAGUAAAUGUACAGGAAUGUGUAUUUAGAU
rnacentral:ncRNA from 1 species